rnacentral:rRNA from 1 species
UACGAAGGGGGGCUAGCGUUGCUCGGAAUCACUGGGGCGUAAAGCGCACGUAGGCGGCUUGUUAAGUCAGGGGGUGAAAAUCCUGGAGCCUCAACUCCAGAACUGCCUUUGAUACUGGCGAGCUUCGAGUCCGGGGAGAGGUGAGUGGAACUGCGAGUGUAGAGGUGAAAUUCGUAGAUAUUCCGCAAGAACACCAGUGGCGAAGGCGGCUCACUGGCCCGGUACUGACGCUGAGGUGCGAAAGCGUGGGGAGCAAACAGG